CAGCCGCCACGGGAAUACAGAGGGUGCGAGCGUUAAUCGGAUUUACUGGGCGUAAAGCGUGCGUAGGCGGCUAAUUGAGUCGGAUGUGAAAUCCCCGAGCUUAACUUGGGAAUUGCAUUCGAUACUGGUUAGCUAGAGUGUGGGAGAGGAUGGUAGAAUUCCAGGUGUAGCGGUGAAAUGCGUAGAGAUCUGGAGGAAUACCGAUGGCGAAGGCAGCCAUCUGGCCUAACACUGACGCUGAGGUACGAAAGCAUGGGGAGCAAACAGGAUUAGAUCCCCUGUAGUCCCUGUCUCUUAUACA
rnacentral:rRNA from 1 species